rnacentral:rRNA from 1 species
UACGUAGGGGGCAAGCGUUGUCCGGAAUCAUUGGGCGUAAAGGGCGCGUAGGCGGCCCUGUAAGUCCGCUGUGAAAGUCAAGGGCUCAACCCUUGAAUGCCGGUGGAUACUGCAGGGCUAGAGUCCGGAAGAGGCGAGUGGAAUUCCUGGUGUAGCGGUGAAAUGCGCAGAUAUCAGGAGGAACACCAAUUGCGAAGGCAGCUCGCUGGGACGUUACUGACGCUGAGACGCGAAAGCGUGGGGAGCAAACAGG